rnacentral:tRNA from 1 species
GGCUCGUUGGUCUAGGGGUAUGAUUCUCGCUUUGGGUGCGAGAGGUCCUGGGUUCGAAUCCCGGAUGAGCCC